rnacentral:rRNA from 1 species
GAGUUUGAUUCUGGCUCAGAACGAACGCUGGCGGCGCGUCUUAAGCAUGCAAGUCGAACGGUAAGGGAGAGCUUGCUCUCCCCUAGAGUGGCGGACUGGUGAGUAACGCGUAGGUGACCUACCCUGAAGAUGGGGAUAGCUAGUAGAAAUAUUAGAUAAUACCGAAUAAGCUCAUUUGCAUAAAGGCAGAUGAGGAAAGGAGCUACGGCUCCGCUUUAGGAUGGGCCUGCGUCCCAUUAGCUAAGUUGGUGAGGUAAAGGCUUACCAAGGCAACGAUGGGUAUCCGGCCUGAGAGGGUGAACGGACACAUUGGGACUGAGAUACGGCCCAAACUCCUACGGGAGGCAGCAGCUAAGAAUCUUCCGCAAUGGACGAAAGUCUGACGGAGCGACGCCGUGUGAAUGAAGAAGGCUGAAAAGUUGUAAAAUUCUUUUGCAGAUGAAGAAUAAGGAUAGGAGGGAAUGCCUAUCU